GACGGAGGGUGCAAGCGUUGUUCGGAAUCAUUGGGCGUAAAGGGCGCGCAGGCGGCCUGCCCAGUCCGGUGUGAAAGCCCGAGGCUCAACUUCGGAGGUGCAUCGGAUACUGGCAGGCUUGAGUCCGAGAGGGGACCGUGGAAUUCCUGGUGUAGGGGUGAAAUCCGUAGAGAUCAGGAGGAACACCGGAGGUGAAAACGACGGUCUGGAUCGGGACUGACGCUGAGGCGCGAAAGCGCGGGUAGCGAACAGG
rnacentral:misc_RNA from 1 species